rnacentral:rRNA from 1 species
CCUACGGGCGGCAGCACUGGGGAAUAUUGGACAAUGGGCGAAAGCCUGAUCCAGCCAUGCCGCGUGUGUGAAGAAGGCCUUCGGGUUGUAAAGCACUUUCAGUGGGGAAGAAAGCCUUGGGGCUAAUACCCUCGAGGAAGGACAUCACCCACAGAAGAAGCACCGGCUAACUCCGUGCCAGCAGCCGCGGUAAUACGGAGGGUGCGAGCGUUAAUCGGAAUUACUGGGCGUAAAGCGCGCGUAGGCGGUCUGAUAAGCCGGUUGUGAAAGCCCCGGGCUCAACCUGGGAACGGCAUCCGGAACUGUCAGGCUAGAGUGCAGGAGAGGAAGGUAGAAUUCCCGGUGUAGCGGUGAAAUGCGUAGAGAUCGGGAGGAAUACCAGUGGCGAAGGCGGCCUUCUGGACUGACACUGACGCUGAGGUGCGAAAGCGUGGGUAGCAAACAGGAUUAGAUACCCGUGUAGUC